CCAUGUAGCUAAAAAUGUAAUGGGAGAUAGGUAUCAUUAUUAAUUAAGCAGAUAAGCAAGUAAAAACAACAUUGUCACCAAUGAGGCCAAAACCUUUAGUUGAGGAAGAAGCUUUGUUGUCCAUGACUUCUAUCUUAUUGCUAUUUCUAUGUGAAUGUGAUUUGGACCCUUUUCCAUAGGUUGUUGCUGCUACCUUUUUCUCAAGCUUUCUCCUUAUAACAUACUCUUCUGGAAUGAAUACAUCCAUUAUGUAAAUGUGAAAAAAAUGGGUAAAACAAAUUCAAUAAAAAGGGUCUAAAGUUGAGUGAAAAAUGAAGUUGUAGUUGGAAGUGAAACGUUGGUUUAGGGAGCCAAAAAAUGAUGGUUUGAG
rnacentral:lncRNA from 1 species